rnacentral:pre_miRNA from 1 species
UCUCAAGGAUGAGCAACAAAAGCAGUUUCUUGAGAUGGAAUCUGCUGCUGAUGAAGAUGCUGUGAA